CACCGGAGACUAGGACCUCGCCGCAUCGGAAAUCGCCUUCGGCGGCGGCGGACGUCCAAACACCUUCACUUAUACCCCAUUCUACUCACCUUGACUCUCUAUUUCAUAAUCUUUGUCUAUCUUUCCUCAAUUCCUAGCCAAAACUCCAAAUCAAACAUAUAUUUCUAUGAACUCUAAAGAUGGAAAUUCAAAUUAAACGUUGAUGAAGCCUAAUCCCGGUUCCAGAGCUUAGGGAUAUGGUUUUUUUAGCAUUCAUACUACAAAAGUGCAACAAGAUUCGGAGAAAUCAAGAGAAGCAGAAGAAUAGUCUACCUUUGGAGCGGUGGCUUUCUCUGGAAAGUGUUGAGCAGCUUGAAGAGGAGAAUGCAGAGAAAUCCAGAGGUAUGCUUUUAUCUCCUUCCUCCCAUUGAUAAUUGCUCAUUCUUCUUCUAUCACAACAAUUUGUAGGUUGAAUAUCGUUGAUGUGUGUUUUUCGUUUUAUGCGCGUGAGAGAAGAGUGGUAGAGUUGCAGAGAGGGAGAGAAUCUCAUAGAGGGAAAGUUUCAGUGAGUUUGUGGAAUCGUGAUUGGUGAAGAUGAUUGAAUGAGUGAGGAUGAACUUAUAUAGAGUGUGAUCUCUAACUGUUUUAGGCAAUGGUGGUUGAAGGUUUGGGCACCAUUAACUGUUAGUGAAUUCAAAGAAGGAGUUAGUUGUUGAAGUUAACAGAGUUAAAAUUCUGUUAAAAUUAGUUAGAUGUGAAGUUGGAAUAUAGUUAUGUAUUUGAAUUUGAAGUGUAGUUAUACAGUGAAAACAAUUAGAUAUGCUCGGAUGGAUCAUUAUUGAAGGUUAAUUAGUGGAAAUUAUGUUAGGAAGUUAUCGUUAGUUAGUGGAAGUCAGGUCGAAUUGGAGUGUAGUAGUUUGUUUGAAAUGUUAAGUGAAAUGAGUUAGUAUUGUUUGAGUUAGUUAAUGCAAAUUAGAAUUAGGAAAUGAAUUGUGGUGUAGUUCAAACUAUGUUGAGUAUUAAUAAAUUGAGGUUGCCAUGGAGUUUAAACUGUUACUGGAAGUGUGAAGUUAUUGAAAUGGAAAUUAAAUUAGUGAGGAAUGAACUAGGUAUUGUCAUGAAAAUCUGAUAUUAACUGAUGGUAGUUGUUAUGUUUAUUUGGUUAAUUAAAUUGCUCGCUUGUGAUGCAUGAGCUAUUAUGUUAAAUGUGUUUUGAAAUCUAAUUGAACCCCCUUAGGGAAUGUAUUAGGCUUGUGCUAACAAUUAAUGAUGAGUUAGAAUGCUUGUGACUGUUAGUAAAGCAUUAAAGUGCGAGUGAAUGAACUACUGAUAGUUAGCUCAUUGAAUUGAAACUUGAAGUUAGUGGAAGAGGGAAGUAUGUUAGUUACAGAGUUGAAGUUAGUUAAUUGGAAUUCAAAUUGGAAUUGUUAUGCUUAUUAGACGUGGAAUUCAAAUUGAGAUAGGUUAUGUUGUUAUUGUUGUGCUAAAUUGUGAUGCUAGUUAUGUUAUGAUGUAUGUUACCAAUUGGUUUGAAAAUUAGUUAUAGUUAGUUGAUUGAAGAUUGGUUAGUGUAAACUGUGAGGAAAUAUGAAUGAAUUAGCCAAGUGAAAGUUAGUUAAAAUGCUGAAUGUUAUGCAAAUUAGUAAUUUAUGUUAGAAUUGGCAUGGAAUUGGUGUGGAAUUGAUUGCUUAAAAUUGAACUAUUGAUGCAAGAUGAAUGGUAUAAUGCUUUUAUUGCAUAGGAGUUAACUAUUGUUUUGGUGUUUGAAUCAAUGUAGACUUGUCAUGAUGUGCUUGGGUUUGUUGAGUUUGGAUCAUGACUUACUUGAUUGUGUAGGUACAGGUGUGGAUUGUUUAAAUGUUGGUGGGAUAUGAAUGCAAUAAGUGUGUGUAUGUAAAUGGUAUGCUAAUUAUGUGUAUUAUUUUUGCAGGGUUGG
rnacentral:lncRNA from 1 species